rnacentral:rRNA from 1 species
AAUGAACGUUGGCGGCAUGGAUUAGGCAUGCAAGUCGAGCGAGAAGUGUAGCAACACACGGAAAGCGGCGGAAGGGAGAGUAAUACGUGGGAAUCUGCCCUUAGACCUGGGAUAGCAGCGGGAAACUGCUGGUAAUACCAGAUAAUGUCUAUGGACCAAAGGUGUGAUUCCGUCUAGGGAUGAGCCCACGUCCUAUUAGCUAGUUGGUAGGGUAAUGGCCUACCAAGGCGAUGAUGGGUAGCGGGUGUGAGAGCAUGACCCGCCUCACUGGGACGGAGACACUGCCCAGAAACCUACGGGUGGCUGCAGUCGAGAAUCUUCGGCAAUGGGCGCAAGCCUGACCGAGCGAUGCCGCGUGCGGGAUGAAGGCCUUCGGGUUGUAAACCGCUGUCGAGGGGGAGCAACUUCCAUAGAGUUAUCUUUAUGCAUUGAGUGAUCCCUGGAGGAAGGACGGGCUAAGUUCGUGCCAGCCGCCGCGGUAACAC